GACGAGGGGUCCUAGCGUUGUUCGGAAUCAUUGGGCGUAAAGCGUAUGUAGGCGGCCUGUCAAGUCAGCUGUGAAAUCCCUGGGCUCAACCCAGGACGUGCAGUUGAUACUGAUGGGCUUGAAUAUGGGAGAGGAUAGUGGAAUUCCUGGUGUAGUGGUGAAAUACGUAGAUAUCAGGAGGAACACCGGUGGCGAAGGCGGCUAUCUGGCCCAAUAUUGACGCUGAGAUACGAAAGUGCGGGGAUCAAACAGG
rnacentral:rRNA from 1 species